AGACGUAGGGGGCGAGCGUUGUCCGGAAUUACUGGGCGUAAAGAGCACGUAGGCGGGACAUUAAGUCAGGUGUGAAAGACCGGGGCUCAACUCCGGGAUUGCACUUGAAACUGAAGUUCUUGAGGGCAGGAGAGGAAAGCAGAAUUCCUGGUGUAGCGGUGAAAUGCGUAGAAAUCAGGAGGAAUACCAGUGGCGAAGGCGGCUUUCUGGACUGACCCUGACGCUGAGGUGCGAAAGCGUGGGUAGC
rnacentral:rRNA from 1 species